UGCAACUAGAGGAAUGUCUGUUGUAAACCGCCGGCGUAACGUGAGCGUCCUAAGGUAGCGCGAUAAUUUGCUUUUCAAUUGAAGGAUGGUAUGAAAGGGUUAACGAAGAAGGUGCUGUGUCUAAAAAUUCAAUUUAAACUAACUUUAAGGUGAAGAGGCCUUUAUGUAAAAGAAGGACGACAAGACCCUAUGAAGCUUUAUCUUAAUUGGAGCUCUCAGGCUCUUAUACGAUUUUGAUGGGAGAUCAGUAGAAAUAAGUCUUCUACUAUCAUAUUAAUCUUACUAGUAUUUCCUAACUUUAUAUGUGUGGCUAGCUACUCUAGGGAUAACAGCGCAAUUUCUCCCGAAAGAUGGUAUUGGAGGGGAAGAUUGCGACCUCGAUGUUGGCUUUAGAUAUCCUAGA
rnacentral:rRNA from 1 species